AUGGCCAAAUAUUUUUGGAGCAGUUCUCUUGAUAAGAAGUCAUUGCAUUGGGUGUCAUGGAAGGAUCUGGCAACACCCAAGUGCAAGGGGGGCAUGGGAUUUCGUGAUCCUCACUUAUUUAACCUUGCAAUUCUUGGGAAGCAUGGAUGGCAGUUUUUGACUAACCCGAAUUCCCUAUGCGCAAGGGUUUUGAAAGGAAGGUAUUUCCCUUAUUCUGAUUUUAUGCAGGCCUCUGCACCGAAGUUGGCUUCUGCCACCUGGAAGGCGAUUGUGGCGGGGAGGGACGCGCUAAGACCGGGGCUGAUUACUCGUGUUGGAGAUGGCAGUUCUAUCUCGAUCUGGACUGAUAAAUGGAUUCCAGGAACGAUUAGUAUGACACUUGUUUCACGACCACCGAACACUAAUCUUCUUCUAGUGUCGGAGCUCAUUGAUUCUCAGAACUGGACGUGUAGAUAG
rnacentral:rRNA from 1 species